GGCUCAGUGGUUUAAUGGUAAAGCGCUCGUCGAGAAGCCAGAGGGUCCUGGGUUUGAUCCCCACCAGGGUUG
rnacentral:tRNA from 1 species